rnacentral:rRNA from 1 species
CACGUAGGGGGCAAGCGUUGUCCGGAUUUAUUGGGCGUAAAGAGCUCGUAGGCGGUUCGGUAAGUCGGGUGUGAAACCUCCAGGCUCAACCUGGAGACGCCACCCGAUACUGCUGUGACUAGAGUCCGGUAGGGGAGCGUGGAAUUCCUGGUGUAGCGGUGAAAUGCGCAGAUAUCGGGAAGAACACCCGUGGCGAAGGCGGCUCUCUGGGACGAUACUGACGCUGAGACGCGAAAGCGUGGGGAGCGAACAGG